rnacentral:rRNA from 1 species
CACCAGCGCCACAAGUGGGGACCGGUUUUAUUGGGCCUAAAGCGUCCGUAGCAGGUUUAGCAAAUUACUUGUGAAAUCGAACGGCUCAACCGUUCGGACUGCAGGUAACACUACUAAACUAGAGACCGGAAGACGUUGGAAGUAUUCAAGGGGGAGCGGUAAAAUGCGAGAAUCCCUUGAGGACUACCUGUUGCGAAGGCGUCCAACAAUGACGGGUCUGACUGUGAGGGACGAAAGCUAGGGGAGCGAA